rnacentral:rRNA from 1 species
AAAUCGUACCCCAAACCGACACAGGUGGUCAGGUAGAGAAUACCAAGGCGCUUGAGAGAACUCGGGUGAAGGAACUAGGCAAAAUGGUGCCGUAACUUCGGGAGAAGGCACGCUGACACGUAGGUGAAGUGAUUUACUCAUGGAGCUGAAGUCAGUCGAAGAUACCAGCUGGCUGCAACUGUUUAUUAAAAACACAGCACUGUGCAAACACGAAAGUGGACGUAUACGGUGUGACGCCUGCCCGGU